AUUGAACGCUGGCGGCGUGCCUAACACAUGCAAGUCGAGCGGUAACAGGUGUAGCAAUACAUGCUGACGAGCGGCGAACGGGUGAGUAAUGCUUCGGAAUCUGCCCAUGUAGUGGGGAAUAACCAGCCGAAAGGUUGGCUAAUACCGCAUACCGUACCCCUUUUUUAAUCGAGAGGGGUGAAAGCGAGGGGAUCGCAAGACCUUGCGCUAUUGGAUGAGCCGAAGUCGGAUUAGCUAGUUGGUAGGGUAACGGCCUACCAAGGCGACAAUCCGUAGCUGGUCUGAGAGGACGACCAGCCACACUGGGACUGAGACACGGCCCAGACUCCUACGGGAGGCAGCAGUGGGAAUAUUGGACAAUGGGGCAACCCUGAUCCAGCGACGCCGCGUGUGUGAAGAA
rnacentral:rRNA from 1 species